AGAGUUUGAUCCUGGCUCAGGAUGAACGCUGGCGGUAUGCUUAACACAUGCAAGUCGAACGGGCUCUUCGGAGCUAGUGGCGGACGGGUGAGUAACGCGUGAGAAUCUGGCUUCAGGUUCGGGACGACAGUUGGAAACGGCUGCUAAUACCGGAUGUGCCUUAUGGUGAAAGAUUUAUCACCUGAAGAUGAGCUCGCGUCUGAUUAGCUAGUAAGUGUGGUAAGAGCGCACCUAGGCGACGAUCAGUAGCUGGUCUGAGAGGAUGAUCAGCCACACUGGGACUGAGACACGGCCCAGACUCCUACGGGAGGCAGCAGUGGGGAAUUUUCCGCAAUGGGCGAAAGCCUGACGGAGCAAUACCGCGUGAGGGAGGAAGGCUCUUGGGUUGUAAACCUCUUUUCUCAGGGAAGAAUGAUGACGGUACCUGAGGAAUAAGCAUCGGCUAACUCCGUGCCAGCAGCCGCGGUAAUACGGAGGAUGCAAGCGUUAUCCGGAAUGAUUGGGCGUAAAGCAUCCGCAGGUGGCAAUGUAAGUCUGCUGUCAAAGCGUCUGGCUCAACCAGAUAAAGGCAGUGGAAACUACAUAGCUAGAGUAAGGUAGGGGUAGAGGGAAUUCCUGGUGUAGCGGUGAAAUGCGUAGAGAUCAGGAAGAACACCGGUGGCGAAAGCGCUCUGCUGGACCUUAACUGACACUGAGGGACGAAAGCUAGGGGAGCGAAUGGGAUUAGAUACCCCAGUAGUCC
rnacentral:rRNA from 1 species